CCUACGGGUGGCAGCAGUGGGGAAUAUUGCACAAUGGGGGAAACCCUGAUGCAGCGACGCCGCGUGAGUGAAGAAGUAAUUCGUUAUGUAAAGCUCUAUCAGCAGGGAAGAAAAUGACGGUACCUGAGUAAGAAGCCCCGGCUAACUACGUGCCAGCAGCCGCGGUAAUACGUAGGGGGCAAGCGUUAUCCGGAUUUACUGGGUGUAAAGGGAGCGUAGAAGGCAGUGCAAGUCUGGAGUGAAAGGCGGGGGCGCAACCCCCGGACUGCUCUGGAAACUGUACGGCUGGAGUGCAGGAGAGGUAAGUGGAAUUCCUAGUGUAGCGGUGAAAUGCGUAGAUAUUAGGAAGAACACCAGUGGCGAAGGCGGAUUACUGGACGACAACUGACGGUGAGGCGCGAAAGCGUGGGGAGCAAACAGGAUUAGAUACCCCAGUAGUC
rnacentral:rRNA from 1 species